CGGCAAAAGCUCAAAUUUGUAAUCUGGCUUUUUUUAAAGUCCGAGUUGUAAUUUGUAGAGGAAACUUUGGUGCGGCCUUGGUCUAAGUUCCUUGGAACAGGACAUCACAGAGGGUGAGAAUCCCGUAUGUGGCUAUAGGCUUUAACCAUGUAAAGUUCUUUCAA
rnacentral:rRNA from 1 species